rnacentral:lncRNA from 1 species
AGCACCUGUCUGUCGGCAACUGAAGUGACUGCCGGGGGAACGGGGGACGUAGGGCGCUGACAUUUUACCGACACGCAGAGCGCGCUUAGUGCUGUCAACAGCUGGGGGUCAGAAGACAAAUCCCUUUCUCAUUUUCCUGUCCGACCACAAGCACGACAGCUUUCAUGACCUGCUUUCCGCUACUCCUUCAGGCCGUGGCGGUGCCAGCACGUUUUGGCUAGAGCAGAUCCAGCGCCGCGGCGGGAGCGGGCCGGGCAGGGAGCGCUGCGGCACUGGCGGAGGUUGGACGGCGCGGAGGCGGCGGAGGAGGAGCGGGCGGCACAGCGAUAGCGCUGACGGGCAGCGGCAGCCGCCUUUGUCCCCUCCCCUCCCCGGCGCGCCCAGCCCAGCCGGCAGCGCGCAGGGGAGCGGGCCGGCCUGGGGAUUCCCUCCCCGCGCCGCCGAGGUCGCCAUCUUCACCCCCGAGCUCGCCUCGGACGCUGCCGGCCGGGCUCCCGGGGAGCCGCCGGGAGCCUGCGCCGCGCCCGCCCGCUGCAUGUGACCGGCGGGCGGCAGCGGCCUCCUCCGCGGAUCGCGGCUGCGUCCUCCUCCGCCCCCGGCGCGGCGGGAGGGGGCGCGGGGCGCCCGGCAGCGGGAGACGGAGGUGCCGGGGCGCGGCGGGCACACAAAGGAGCGGGCGCCGCCGUGGGCAGCGGAGAACGUUCCAGAGGCCCUCUGACGUUUAACUCUGAAGCUGGAUAUGCAUUAAACCUUUUUCAUCGCUCUCUAGAAUUGGGGAUAUCUUCACUGAAUAACUUGCUGCUUAAAGAAAGUAACAGAAGUUGGGAAAUUCAGGUUCACGUAACGCUAGGGACCAAAGAAGCAUACGUAAUAUUUCUCUGGUGCUGGGAUCAACCUUCUGGAAGAAGACUCUACAAUAACUUUUUGCCUUCAAGUUCUUUGUCCUGGGACUGA